AUUGAACGCUGGCGGCAGGCCUAACACAUGCAAGUCGAGCGGAUGAAGGGAGCUUGCUCCUGGAUUCAGCGGCGGCCGGGUGAGUAAUGCCUAGGAAUCUGCCUGGUAGUGGGGGAUAACGUCCGGAAACGGGAGCUAAUACCGCAUACGUCCUGUGGGAGAAUGUGGGUGAUCUUCGGACGUCACGCUAUCAGAUGAGCCUAGGUCGUAUUAGCUAGUUGGUGGGGUAAAGGCCUACCAAGGCGACGAUCCGUAACUGGUCUGAGAGGAUGAUCAGUCACACGGUAUCUGAGGCACGUUCCAGACUCCUACGGGAGGCAGCAGUCGAGAAUAUUGGACGAUGGGCGAAUGCCUGAUCCUGCCAUGCCGCGUGUAUGAAGAAGGUCUUCUGAUUGUAAAGCACUUAAAGUUGUGAGGUAGGGCAGUAAUUUAAUACCUUGCUAUUUUGACGUUACCAGCAGAAUAAGCACCGGCUAACUUCGUG
rnacentral:rRNA from 1 species